rnacentral:rRNA from 1 species
UACGUAGGCAGCGAGCGUUGUUCGGAGUUACUGGGCGUAAAGGGUGCGUAGGCGGUUGUUUAAGUUUGGUGUGAAAUCUCCCGGCUCAACUGGGAGGGUGCGCCGAAUACUGAAUGACUAGAGUGCGGGAGAGGAGAGUGGAAUUCCUGGUGUAGCGGUGAAAUGCGUAGAUAUCAGGAGGAACACCGGUGAUGUAGACGGCUCUCUGGACCGUAACUGACGCUGAGGCACGAAAGCGUGGGUAGCAAACAGG